rnacentral:lncRNA from 1 species
GAGCUCCCCAGGUGUCUUCUCGUGCAGUCCUCCAAGCCCUGUACCCUGAAGCUGAGUAAACAGUGGGCGGCAGUCUGUGGCCCAGCCCACGUCCACAGCUGGCAAGUGGCAGGGCCAGGAUGGGCACCUGGGCCGUCUUGCUGGGGACCGGCACAGCCAUCUGGCCAACUGGACUGGCGUAGAGGAAGGAAACCCUGUUCAAGAAGCUAUUUUCUGAACAUCCCUCUACACCCUGGAUUUCACAACAUCCCUACAUUUAGGUGGGGAGACAGAGACUUUGUGCUCCCAGGGCCGCUGUCCUGUGGGAGCCCAAUAUUCUCAGGAAGUACUGACAGCUUCUGUGUGAUCCCUUCAUACAGACAGAAAAGGCCAGAAUCAAUGGGGUCACUAAAUAUUUAUGUUAGAGAAAGACCUUCAGAGCAAAAAGUCUAAACACUUCUGGAAAUAAGCCUGGAGUCAGAGGUCAACUCAAUGAGAUUCCACCAUGGGGAAGUUAAGAGUUUAGAGAAUGACCCAACCACUGGGAGGUACCAGUGACUUGGGACUGCUGCCUUGAAAAGUACCCUCUACUUCGAUGGGGAGCCCACAGUGACUGGUGUGCGGCUGAGGGAUGUGCAGCCCACACUGACGGCUGACUCCGACAUUUGUGCUCAUCCACAUCCAGAGGAGUCACCUCUGAUUUCCCCUUCUGUCUGGGCUCUGAGAACCGCAUUGAGUUUGUAUCAAGCGCUUGGCACGAGAUAGCGCUAACCAUUCAAGUUGUGGGCAUGAUUGGAACCGCCUGACUUGUGCUGGUUCUCCCCAUUGUGUCCAUCCUUCUUCCAGCAGAGGGUGGUCACCUCCAUGCUCAAGCGUGCAGGUUACUACCUCUGCCAUGUUCCAUGCCUCUCGGGCAGCGGGAUGCUUCCCAGAGCUCAUUCCAUUGUCACCCAGCUGUCUGAGGGGGUUAUUUUGUCUGUGGUCUGCAGAGGAGGACACAGGCUCGAGGCAUACGGCAGGUAUAGCGGAGUGGGGCACGACCACAGGUCUGUUGGACCUUAUUCUCGGUAGCUGAGCUCACCUGUCCUGGUAUUGAGCCCUGUGCACCAUGAAUGUGGGUGGAUUGGACUGGCUCCCCUCCUCACCAGCAUCCUUGGUGUGGGACAGACUCCGUCUUGCUCCUGAGCACUGCUCCCUCUGACCUGCCAUCUUCAUUGCUGCUUUAUUUACUAAUGUGGCUUCAAGGUGUUAGGGGCCUAGAGAUCAUAUAAUUUAAACUCACAUUCCAAUAAAGAAACAGAUGCACCGGAGAGGAAUACAUGGGCUAGACUAAUGUAUCAGUGAGCGUUGCUGCGUAAGAAAUGAUCUAUGGACUCAGAUGGCUUAAUACCCCUCAGGAUUCUGUGGGUGAACUGGUGAUUCCUUAGCUGAUCUCACCUGGCUCACUCGUGUAGGCAGUAGCCGGCCGGGAAAAUUUCCCUCCUGGGCAUCUUCAAACGGGUGUAAGUAGGACCUGCCUUACCUUGGAUGUCACACGUCAUUCUUGCACCACUGCUCUGGUCAGAGAUGUCAUGAGGCCCUCCCCAAGGCAAGGACUAGUCCACCUCUUGAUGGGAGAAGCAGUAGAGCCACAGGGCUCA